rnacentral:rRNA from 1 species
UGUUGACUUGGAAGUUGUUCCCUUGAGGCGUGGCUUCCGGAGCUAACGCGUUAAGUCGACCGCCUGGGGAGUACGGCCGCAAGGUUAUAACUCAAAUGAAUUGACGGGGGCCCGCACAAGCGGUGGAGCAUGUGGUUUAAUUCGAUGCAACGCGAAGAACCUUACCUACUCUUGACAUCCAGAGAACUUAGCAGAGAUGCUUUGGUGCCUUCGGGAACUCUGAGACAGGUGCUGCAUGGCUGUCGUCAGCUCGUGUUGUGAAAUGUUGGGUUAAGUCCCGCAACGAGCGCAACCCUUAUCCUUUGUUGCCAGCGGUUCGGCCGGGAACUCAAAGGAGACUGCCAGUGAUAAACUGGAGGAAGGUGGGGAUGACGUCAAGUCAUCAUGGCCCUUACGAGUAGGGCUACACACGUGCUACAAUGGCGCAUACAAAGAGAAGCGACCUCGCGAGAGCAAGCGGACCUCAUAAAGUGCGUCGUAGUCCGGAUUGGAGUCUGCAACUCGACUCCAUGAAGUCGGAAUCGCUAGUAAUCGUGGAUCAGAAUGCCACGGUGAAUACGUUCCCGGGCCUUGUACACACCGCCCGUCACACCAUGGGAGUGGGUUGCAAAAGAAGUAGGUAGCUUAACCUUCGGGAGGGCAGU